GUCCAGAGUUUCAAACCAACCUCACUAAUGUUCACUAUUGUGCAGUUAGAAAUCAUAGGUCCUUUGUGUUUAAGGACCUAGUAGGGAAAUGAUUUACAACUACCCAAACAAGCAAACUGAUCUUCCUGACAGAGUCCUCACUGGAUGGAGCACAUGCUAGUCACGUCCACACUUUGAGCUGGGCAAAAGCAACAUUGGGGUUUCAUUGGUGAUGAUAAUAGAUGUCAGACUGUCAUAUGAAUAUUGAUGCGAAAGCUAGUCUGCUUUCGUAGAGGAGCAGAAGGAAGCAAGAUGGCUGCCCUUUAGGAUUUGUUUGAAAGGAGACAGAUUGUACUUUGCUGGAUUUCUGCGACGCUGAGGGAGAUACAGAGGCUGGAGCUAUUUUUAUGUACCAGUUUGAAGUAUUUUUGUGAGAAUCCAGUAAAGUGAUAGUGGUACGGUGGAACAGGUACAGUGUUUUCACCUUCCUGGUGUGUGUGCAUGAGUUUUAAUUGUGUGUUUUUAAUUUUAAAGGAAAAUAUCACAUGUAACGUGUGCAGUGAAACUGAGCUUCUAAUGUGCUAAGGAAGUAAAGCUUUAAUAAAUGAAGGAAUUGAAAUUACACAGAGAAUUA